CUCUGCUCACAGGAUACCCACUCUGGUUGCAGCUUCCUGGGACAGCCUUGGGGGCUGGAAUUGGCAGCAGCUGGAGGUGGCUGGGGACAGUGGAGGGAGGGGAGUAAGCUGUGGACAUGGUGGUAGGGGGGUCCCUCUUCAGUGUUUAAGGGCCCAGGAGUGAGUUCCUCUGGCUGCUCCAGCAAGUGGAGAGAGAAGAGCCGACUGGCCCCGGAGGCACCGACCACAGCCCGAGCGGGCCUGCUGGAAGCUCCGACCCUGCCGCAGAUCCCUGCGCCGCACGAUGUGAACAAUUGCUGCAAUCUCACCCUAAGUACUCUUGUUUCCCCUAAUAAUCCACAUUUCAUCUCCACAAUAAACAUUGUUAGAACUCUU